rnacentral:sRNA from 1 species
CGAUCUGCUGCGGGCUGAUAAAAUGGAUAUGGGUAUCAAUUCCGCCGGCCGUCACGAUCAUGCCUUCUCCUGCCAGUGCCUCUGUGGAUGCUCCCACCGUCAUUCCGGGUGUUACCCCGUCCAUGAUAUCCGGGUUUCCGGCUUUUCCGAUACCGGCAAUUUUUCCAUCCUUGAUGCCGAUAUCUGCUUUUAUGAUUCCUGUCGUAUCUACGAUAAGACAGUUUGUGAUAACCAGAUCCAGAUCGCCGUCACGGCUGCAGGUUUUUACAGACUGCCCCAUGCCGUCAC